CGCACUUCUGAUUGGACUGGUAGAGCCGUCCGUUUAAAUUUCAGUAACUACUAGUUCCUACUUCGUCAGACAAUUCCGACUCCAGGCAUUUUAAUGAUAAUAUUUAAAACGUCGAGGUGUUGUUAGGGUGCCCCUAGGAGUAUUGCGUUGUUCAGUGUCAUGUUUCAAUCUCUGCUGGCGUGGACGAACAAUUGUAUGCAAUUCAAGCACUACAGCGAAACCUGGAACAUCAGAAAGGGGCAAGGCAAAUCAUCGGCGUUUGCGAACCGUGGGAAGAACCUGGGACUGAUCAUUUGUCUCGCAGUAUUUUACUAUAUAAAUGAAAUCUACACAGUUAGAAUUCAGAAAAUAGGAAUGGGAAGUAGAUUGCUGUUUUACGCUCGAAGAAGAAGUGACGCUUUACUGCAUUGGCAUGCCUAUAUCCAAUGAAGCUCUAGUCUGCCGAGAGAUGCCAUAAGAUGGGCAAACAUGGAAUCACUGUAACAUUCUUAUGUCUCAAGAAGAAAAAAAGCGGCACAAGGACAUGCUGUCCUGUUGUAAAGUUGUCAUUUCAGGAUGAGUCUGCUCUUCUGAUGAUGGUGUUUGAAGAGACUUGGAAAGCCUGCAAACACACCGGCUGUCCUGGGUCAGGGUUACAGAUCCCUAGAGGUGACGCUCCUCCAGAUCAUCACACCUGGGCUUCCCCAUCGAUCGGUGUGUUGUCCACAGGAAUUAAUGUAUCGUGCCCCACCUGCUGACAUCCAUUGAGGUCUACACAAACCCCUCCUCUUUUAGUUUUGCAUCUGCUAAUGUGUUCAUAUGUUGAUAUUUAAUGUUUGCAUCACCUAUUACAGUAUAUGAUAAAAAUAGCCAUAGGUAAGAGAAACCUUGUAGGAUCAAUUAUGUUAAAGGAACAAUGAAAUGUGUACCACACAGUUCUGGGCCCCAGUGACUAGAGCUGCCUCUCGGCCAUGUUUCAAUAAUAAAACAGCUGGCAGGUGAAUCAAGUUGAAUAACUUUGUGGAUUUGCAGUUUUAAGUCCCAGUGAAUCAAGCUUCAUUCCAAACUGACAGAUUUUUAUGGUUAUAAUUAUCAAAUCAAAUGAUCUGAAAACAGUUUUAGCAGCUCACUGCUUUUAUAACACUGAUUUAGUUUGCAAAACAGUAAGUAUUCAGUUGAAAGAAUGCCUUUGUUUGCAUUUGAUAAAAGUGUUAAUAUCUGCAUAUAAGAUAUAAUUUUCUCACUGUAGGGUACCAAUGUACUGUUCUGUAACACUAUAAUCUUUUCAGCAUUGAGUUGAAGCCUUUACAUAAAAAUCCUCAUAAUCCUCAUAAAGGUUGACUAAUCCUAAUCAAAAUAUUAACUCUAACAUUUCUAACCUUUUCUUAUUCUGCCAAUGAGAAAAGGGUAUCCUUUUGCUUCUUAUAACACUAACGGUAGUUAAUGAAACAUGUACCAAGUACUGGAUGUCUGCAAUGCCAUUAAUUGAAAUGUUCACCUCAGCAUCUCUAUAACUAUAUGACUUCAGUUUUUAAGUAGGCUAUGUCAUGUUAUGAACUGCUUGUGUCAAAUUGGGGUUUACCAUUUGAGACUUAUUUAAGUAAAUAUUGCAAAGGAGUCCCUCUUUCAUAUGUGUAAUAUUGUCUGUAAUAACUGUAAUGCGCUGCUUCCCAGUAUUUCUUAGUGCACUAUCAACAAACUUCAGUAUGCUCAUAACUCAGCUGUUCAAACGUAAAUUACAUCCAAGCUCUGCACGUAUAUCACUCCUGUUCUAGCCACCCUGCACUGGCUUCCAGUUCCAUACAGUAAAAAUAUGAAGCUGGGAACCAUAUAUAGAAGACAUUACUCAUUUAUGGUUCUUCUUAUCUGAGAGAUUUGCUGAGCUGUUAUGCUCUUUAAGUUCUGUCUUGCUGUGUGUACCUGUGAUGUGACACCAUACACAGUGUGAUUGGAUGUUCUGUGGAAAUGUGAAAAACUAAAAUGUUUAACCCGAGACUGUUCAAGUCUCAAUAUUUUGGUCUACAAAAAUUCACUUAAAAAUCAGUUUUUAAAGGCUAGCUUUUCCUAACUUAACAGAAAAUGCUGUUCCCAUUCCCUUCCUAUGGUUCCUACUGUAUAUUGAAUUGCAUAAAUAUUCAGACCCAUGAACUCGGUAUUCGGUGGAAGCACCUUUGGCAUCAAGUACAGACACAAUUUUUUUCUUUGCUCAAGUCUUUGAUCCUCAAGCACCAUCUAGUUGCUUGGGGGUUGCUUAUAGACAACAGUUUUCAAGUCUUUCCAAGAGGAUUCAAGUCAGCAGAUUAAGUUUUCUGCUGUGUCAUACAGCUCAGCAUAGUGGUGAGACCAGGAUAUUGUUAACUGAUACACAUUAUGUCAACUAUUGACCUCGGUAACACUUUUAAAAUUGUUGUAGGCUUUAGGUGGCCCCCCCUCUCCAGAGGAGAUGUCAGUAUUUUUUGUACCCUUCUCCUGACUGUGCUUUUCAGUGACUUUAUCCCCUACUUGUUUUGCCAUAGCAAUGGCUUGAAUACUUCUGUGUAUACUUCUAUGAUAUUUUCUUUUUACUUUUGUAUUAUUUAUUUAGUUAUUUCUCUGUUUUUUACUUUGAAUCUGCACAGUAGGUUGUGUGUAUAGAAAAUAUUAAGUACUGAUUCAGAGUGUCAGAACUGGAUGAUUUACAGCAACAAAAUGUAAAAACAGUGGAGAGAUCUGAAUACCUUGCAAGGCACUGUAUAUACAAUUGAUUUGUUACCUCCACUGUAAAACUCCGAUAUCUCUUCACAUGAAAGAGACUAUAUAAAAUAAAAAUUUUAAAAAACUUACAUUAAUUUAAUAAU